GAUGAACGCUGGCGGCGUGCCUAAUACAUGCAAGUCGAGCGAACGGACGAGAAGCUUGCUUCUCUGAUGUUAGCGGCGGACGGGUGAGUAACACGUGGAUAACCUACCUAUAAGACUGGGAUAACUUCGGGAAACCGGAGCUAAUACCGGAUGAUAUUUUGAACCGCAUGGUUCAAAAGUGAAAGACGGUCUUGCUGUCACUUAUAGAUGGAUCCGCGCUGCAUUAGCUAGUUGGUAAGGUAACGGCUUGCCAAGGCAACGAUGCAUAGCCGACCUGAGAGGGUGAUCGGCCACACUGGAACUGAGACACGGUCCAGACUCCUACGGGAGGCAGCAGUAGGGAAUCUUCCGCAAUGGGCGAAAGCCUGACGGAGCAACGCCGCGUGAGUGAUGAAGGUCUUCGGAUCGUAAAACUCUGUUAUUAGGGAAGAACAUAUGUGUAAGUAACUGUGCACAUCUUGACGGUACCUAAUCAGAAAGCCACGGCUAACUACGUG
rnacentral:rRNA from 1 species